UACGCAAUGAGUACUCGGGUGGUUGAUAUGAGUGUGGCUAGUCGACGAUCGGAUACUCGGGGAUGACCGUCGGAGGUUGAUUGUGAAGAAGAUAGGGAAUUACGAUGUUGCGUUCGGGUGACGCUUGCGUUGACGAUUUGAAGGUAAUCGGGAACUUGUGUUCGUUGACGAUUUGAAGGUAAUCGGGAACUUGUGGUCGUCGGUUGUCGACGAUCAGGAAUUAUGAUGAUUGUGUUCGGGUGAUGCGGUCUGUUGACGAUUUGACGGUAAUCGGGAACUUGUGUUCGUUGACGAUUUGAAGGUAAUCGGGAACUUGUGGUCGUCGGUUGUCGAUGAUCAGGAAUUACGAUGUUGGUGUUCGGGUGAUGAGGGUUGUUGACGAUUAGAGGGUAAUCGGGAACAGCUGUCCAGGUCUUCGUGAGCGGAUUGACAUUCGUACUGGUUGGGCAGCUCGUUGAGGGUAGAUUCGGCAACCGAUGCGUUCGUGUUCGAUAGCUCGUUGAGGGUAGAUUCGGCAACCGAUGCGUUACGCUGUGUAGAUGGAUAGUGGCUCGUUCGGCAGCUCGGGUUUCUGUUAUUCGGGUCGGCUACAGGAGCGAGGUAACUAGCCUAGCUACGAUUCUCUAACUACGUCUACUCCACUACCAACGUUUGACUAUAAUACGGAACAGCGAGCCGAAGCUCCUGUGGAACAGCGAACCGAAGUUCCUGUGGAACAGCGAGCCGAAACUCCUGUGGAACAGCGAGCCGAAGCUCCUGUGGAACAGCGAACCGAAGUUCCUGUGGAACAGCGAACCGAA